GACUAUAUUUAACCCGUUCCAUUUUGUGAAUCAUACCUUCAAAUCCAACCCGAGACAUCGGCUGUGGUAUCACCUUUUGAUGAGUAAAACCCAGACAAAGGUGCUUAAGGGUGCAAAAUAAAAAACAAGGAAAAUAAAUAAAAGAACAGAAGAUUACAAAUUAGUAGUCAAAGAAAGCAAAAGGAUGUGUGUUUACAAACCAAUCAUGGGCAUGCCAUGAUCCAACCUAUUAUAACGGAACUUGCAGGAAUCCCUGAUCUUUAGCUUGAGCCAUCGUAAUCCCUUUCAGCCUUGUCACCAUACUAUAUAUAUGUCCUUGAUUCCAUUAUGUUGCACCAUCUCAUAUAAGUCCUCUCUCUCCCUCUCCCUACGGUUAUUUAUAUAUAAGGUUUUUAGUUUUCCUACGAAGCACCCAGCUCCGGUCUACCAAAACCGAAAAUCGACCCCAUCACAUGCAAGCUUCACCAUGACUGUCGUUUUGCUGCCAACACAUAUCGGCUUCAUAACCUAACUUGCUCACACGACUUCUACAGCCAACGCUGCUAGAACACCCUCAAAGCCGUUGCUUGCCCCCACAUUCUCGCUUCUCCUAUCUAUUUUACGGUCCGCAUUUAGAGAUACAAAGUUCAAGGGAUGGAAAUCUGAUGGCUUGUAACUUUGAAUGUUUUUAGAUGGAUUGAGGUUUAUAAGGAUCUAUGGAGCAAACUUUAAGUGACGUAUUAUUAAACAUCAUCAAUUUAGAAGAGCUAUCAACUACGUUUUUCUUAGCUUUAAAAAUUGUGAGGUGGAAAUAUGAGGUUGUAUAAUGGACUCCUCAGCUGAAUCCAUGGACGUUGACUCUUUCUCUGUCGCUCCGUCGUCAUCGACUCCGCAUGUCUCUAAGGACACAGACACACAACCCGGAUCUUCAUUUGUUCCAUGAAACAUCCGAUGACCAUGAUGGUCAAGGUGCUUCUGCGGGCGAUACCUCGUCGGCUGCUGGGCAGGGGUCGGGUGGUUCAAACACCGUGCCAAGUGACCACCUCUCCAUCUUUGAACCAGUACAACCUAAUGUGGCUCCAGUUGAAUCCGACUCGGUCACUGGGCCGAGGGCUGAACAGUAGCAGGGAGGGGAGCCCCAGGGCCAAGAGGAUCAGGAGGCCGAAGGGGGCGGACCUCAGGAGACUGAGGUGGCUGAAGGCGGUGGACCGCAAGAGGCUGAGGUGACUAGCGAGGAGCAGGAGGUUGGCGGGGAGGCUGGGGAUGAGGACGCUGGGGAGCAACAGGAGGUUGGCGUGGAGGCUGGGGAUAAGGACGCUGGGGAGCAGCAAGAGAUUGGCAUGGAUGCUGGGGAGCAGCAGGAGGUUGGCGGGGAUGCUGGGGAGGAGGACGCUAAUGAUCAGGAGGUUAGUGGGGAAGCUGGCGGGAAUGCUGAAGGUGCAGGUGUCAAGCGCAACAAACGCGAAAGAGGUGAUGAUGAUGUAGGAGGACCGUCAGGCGGCAAGAUUGUCAAACCCCAACCGAUGGCGGAAACAUCGGGGCACGGCACUAGGCGAGCCAGAUUGCUCAAGAAAAUCCAUAACAACUAUUAAAUGACAAUAUUUAAAAGUUCUGCCUAACGAUGAGGCGGGUCAGAACUUUGACGCUGGAAACGAUGACGACGUUGGAAACGACAUUUAUGAAGUAGGAAACAAUAUUAAUAGUGAGGACGUAGAGGAUGUAAAUGUGGACGAUCCAGAACAGGUUGACCACAAUCAAGAAGCUUUGAAUGUGUAAGUGGAAGUUGUUUUCGUUAAUCCAGAAAUAUGUGAUAUAGAUCAGGUUGACCACAAUGAAGAGGCUGUGAACGUGGAACUGGAUGUUAUCCUUGUUGAUCAAGCUGAUCAGGAGCAGGUUACUAAUAUUGGUCAUGGUGGGGGAGAUGAGAAGCAGGUUACUAAUAUUGGUCAAGGUGGGGCUGAUGAGGAGCAUGUUGCUAAUCUGGAUUCGGAGUAGCGUCAAGUAGGCGGCGAAAUAGGGCCGCUUACUGGGAAACGCAAGAGGGAUGAUGGGGGCCAUGAGCCGGAUAAAUGGAAAAACUAGCUUUGACAUCUAAAAGUAAAAAAUCCUUGGGGAUUGGGGUGAUUUUUUUUUCAUAAAGUCUACAAGAACUUUGUAGCCAUAGAAAAAUACUAUCUGUUGAAACUCAGUUGAAUCAAAGUCAUAUAAACAGAAACCCGUUAACACAACCCCUUUUUAUUUAAAUUCUCAUUCUCAAA